GACACUUAAGUUUCAGCUGAGAGAGCUGACAGAGCUUUAGUUUAACAUCAUCGAAAAUACAGGAAUCCCUCAGACUGCAAUGGAGUGUUAGCUUAGAUAUUCAUACCGAAGACUCCAAAACCUACAACUUUCUGAUUCAGAGCAUCCCUUGGCAGCAUAGUGUUGUGGAGGUAAUGCCAGAUCUCUGUGAAGCAAUCAAGCAGAUGGAACUUGUACUCAGCACACAAUUCCAAACUUCAGCACCAACUAUCGAUCAAGAGAGAGAAUGAAUUCACAUAGAGUGCAAAAAGAGGCUAUUUGGGCCAUUAAUCUGCACCAACUCGUCAAAGCCAACAGGGAGGCCAAGAAGCAGUACUGGACCAAGUUAGAAGCCCAAACCUACCAAACAGAGUCCCUACGUCUAUGGCAAAGCCUAAACAACAUUAUAGGAUAUGAAAUGAAGCAGAGCAAGGUAGCGGACAAAGACACAUCCCUCCCUGAUGCGCUCAAUGCUUUCUAUGCUCGGUUUGAGCAGAAUGCCAGCAGUGUGGUGAUGUCUGCCCCGACAGCCCUGGACACACCUGUUCCCUCAGUCAUCACUCCAGAUGCCAGAUCGGUCUUCCUGGGAAUCAACCUAAGGAAAGAUCCGGGCCCGGACGGUGUCCCCCUGCUGAGCACUGAGAUCCUGUGCAGACCAACUCAGGGGGGUAUUCACCGACAUCUUCACC